ACGUAGGUGGCAAGCGUUGUCCGGAUUUACUGGGCGUAAAGGAUGCGUAGGCGGAUACUUAAGUCAGAUGUGAAAAUCCCGGGCUUAACUUGGGAACUGCAUUUGAAACUGGGUAUCUAGAGUGCGGGAGAGGAAAGUGGAAUUCCUAGUGUAGCGGUGAAAUGCGUAGAGAUUAGGAAGAACACCAGUGGCGAAGGCGACUUUCUGGACCGUAACUGACGCUGAGGCAUGAAAGCGUGGGGAGCAAACA
rnacentral:rRNA from 1 species